rnacentral:lncRNA from 1 species
CGCACUACAGGAGUCCCUCUACUGAAAGGUCAGAGUACUGGAACUACGAUUUUUUGUGACAGCGUAUAUGGUCUAUGCACUACUAUUGGAAAAGGAAGAUUUGCUUUUAGAAACUUACCAGAAGAUACAAUUUUUGUGAAUAUUGAUGAUGAAGACUAUAGCAUUGACAAAUAGGUACAAAGCGUGAAUGGAUACUAACACAUAUAAAUCAGAAAAACAAGGUCUAAAGUGCAAAC